rnacentral:rRNA from 1 species
GACGAACGCUGGCGGCGCGCCUAACACAUGCAAGUCGAACGAGCGAGAGAGAGCUUGCUUUCUCGAGCGAGUGGCGAACGGGUGAGUAACGCGUGAGGAACCUGCCUCAAAGAGGGGGACAACAGUUGGAAACGACUGCUAAUACCGCAUAAGCCCACAGCUCGGCAUCGAGCAGAGGGAAAAGGAGCGAUCCGCUUUGAGAUGGCCUCGCGUCCGAUUAGCUAGUUGGUGAGGUAACGGCCCACCAAGGCGACGAUCGGUAGCCGGACUGAGAGGUUGAACGGCCACAUUGGGACUGAGACACGGCCCAGACUCCUACGGGAGGCAGCAGUGGGGAAUAUUGCACAAUGGGGGAAACCCUGAUGCAGCGACGCCGCGUGGAGGAAGAAGGUCUUCGGAUUGUAAACUCCUGUUGUUGAGGAAGAUAAUGACGGUACUCAACAAGGAAGUGACGGCUAACUACGUGCCAGCAGCCGCGGUAAAACGUAGGUCACAAGCGUUGUCCGGAAUUACUGGGUGUAAAGGGAGCGCAGGCGGGAAAGCAAGUUGGAAGUGAAAUCCAUGGGCUCAACCCAUGAACUGCUUUCAAAACUGUUUUUCUUGAGUAGUGCAGAGGUAGGCGGAAUUCCCGGUGUAGCGGUGGAAUGCGUAGAUAUCGGGAGGAACACCAGUGGCGAAGGCGGCCUACUGGGCACCAACUGACGCUGAGGCUCGAAAGUGUGGGUAGCAAACAGG